rfam:Leptosomus discolor contig5757, whole genome shotgun sequence.
AAACUGGUUUUCUUCAAAACCAUGCACUUUUUACCAAUUAAAUAUUU